GCCAUAGCUCAGUGGUAGAACAUAUGCUUGACAUGCAGUAAGUUCCAAGUUCAGUCCCUGGUAUCACCA
rnacentral:tRNA from 1 species